GUCAUUUCAUGGUUAUCUGACUACGCUUAAUAGUAAUAAUACUUAUUGUUAUCUGAUUGUUUGUUGUCUAAUUGGUAUCUACUAAUAGUUGCCUAACGCUGCCCGUUGUCGUCCAUCGUUAUGGGACACUUGAAGAGAGAUGAAGAAAGGUUCAAGAGGGCACCUAUGGCAUACUGCAGCACUUCACUGCUUAAUGCCUAACACUUAAAACACCAGUACGAAAAGUAUAGCAGCAUAGCAGUACCACCAUGUCCUAGUGCCACAAAGCUAAAGGAAUUUCAACAAUAGUGUUGCGGCGUUGCUGUAUACUAGGGACCGCUCUUGGUGAGUGCUUUAGAGAAUUUGAUGAUCCAAGAGAAUUUUGGAGGAUGAUCGAUCCAAGUUUAAUGAAGCAAGUCAAGAGCAUGACUUAUUUCUUCUUCUCUUCUUUAAUAUUUUAUUUCUCUGUAUUCUGGAAACGAUGUGGAUUGUCUAUGUUUAUAUUGUAACCACGAGUUGUUGAAUUUGUAGUUCUUAGGAUUUUGAUUUAGUUCUUACAAACUAAUUUAAUUAUUCUUAGAUUUAUCCAUGCA